rnacentral:tRNA from 1 species
GCUGGCUCAGAGGCAGAGCGUCUGUCUAGAAAACAGAAGGUCGCUGAUUUGAUUCCAGAAUUAGGCA